UACGUAGGGUCCGAGCGUUGUCCGGAAUUAUUGGGCGUAAAGGGCUCGUAGGCGGUUGGUCACGUCGGGGAGUGAAAAACUCAGGGCUCAACCCUGAGCGUGCUUCCGAUACGGGCCGACUAGAGGUAUGCAGGGGAGAACGGAAUUCCUGGUGUAGCGGUGGAAUGCGCAGAUAUCAGGAAGAACACCAAUGGCGAAAGCAGCUCUCUGGGACGGUACUGACGCUGAGACGCGAAAGCGUGGGGAGCGAACAGG
rnacentral:rRNA from 1 species